rnacentral:rRNA from 1 species
GAUGAACGCUGGCGGCGUGCCUAAUACAUGCAAGUCGAGCGAACAGACGAGGAGCUUGCCCCUCUGACGUUAGCGGCGGACGGGUGAGUAACACGUGGAUAACCUACCUAUAAGACUGGGAUAACUUCGGGAAACCGGAGCUAAUACCGGAUAAUAUAUUGAACCGCAUGGUUCAAUAGUGAAAGACGGUUUUGCUGUCACUUAUAGAUGGAUCCGCGCCGCAUUAGCUAGUUGGUAAGGUAACGGCUUACCAAGGCAACGAUGCGUAGCCGACCUGAGAGGGUGAUCGGCCACACUGGAACUGAGACACGGUCCAGACUCCUACGGGAGGCAGCAGUAGGGAAUCUUCCGCAAUGGGCGAAAGCUUGACGGAGCAACGCCGCGUGAGUGAUGAAGGUCUUCGGAUCGUAAAACUCUGUUAUUAGGGAAGAACAAAUGUGUAAGUAACUAUGCACGUCUUGACGGUACCUAAUCAGAAAACCACGGCUAACUACGU